rnacentral:rRNA from 1 species
UACGAAGGGGGCUAGCGUUGCUCGGAAUCACUGGGCGUAAAGGGUGCGUAGGCGGGUCUUUUAAGUCAGGGGUGAAAUCCUGGAGCUCAACUCCAGAACUGCCUUUGAUACUGAGGAUCUUGAGUUCGGGAGAGGUGAGUGGAACUGCGAGUGUAGAGGUGAAAUUCAUAGAUAUUCGCAAGAACACCAGUGGCGAAGGCGGCUCACUGGCCCGAUACUGACGCUGAGGCACGAAAGCGUGGGGAGCAAACAGGG